ensembl:lncRNA
GGCCGCGUUCAGCCUUUAUUGUGGUUUUCGUGCAGUCGGCAGAGCUGUUUGUUCUUUAAAGGACUGAGAUGCCAGCAACGACUACGAAUACGCUGAACCUGAUACAGAUUGUGGGGGUCAAAUAGCAGCUGGAGAUGUGCAGUAAAAGAACAAGAAGAAGUGCAGCCCUCAGGAGAAGCUGAGUGAAGGUCUCCUGUGGGCGGCGCGUCUCCGUCACAACCUCAAAGAUACAAGACGAAACCACAAAUCAUCAUUUCGUGGCCUCGUUUGUCUUCUUCAUCUCCGCGGCGGCGCUGAAGUCAAAGCCGCGGCGCCGCACAGAAAACUCACAUAUUGACUGAACGUGGCGCGCUGGCCCUCGAGAAGGAAGGGGAAGAAGAGCUGGAACACCACCAGCGUGGAGUUACGGAGGCCGCCGCGGUGAACGCGACAUGGAGGACCUCCGCCGUCACAACUAUUAGCUCGGUUCCUCUGACGCCCGGGAACACUGUCGCUUCUGAUCGCUCCUCCAGCGACGACCACGUCCGCUAGAAGAAAAGCCUUCACGCGUUCGGGCUGCAGGGUUCCCGAUGGACCGCUUCUUCUUCUCGCUGGCAUUAACGCCGUCGAACCUUUUUCUGUGUGCGAUCACACGUCGUCUGCGUGGAAACCAGAGGAGGAACAAGAGGACCUGCGAUUACAGGGAGGUUCUUCUGCUGUGAGUGAGACCCGUGAGUUUUAGAAGUGCUAUUCCAUAAUUAGACGUCUGGUGAGAGAGAGAGAGAUUUACUAAUUGCCCGAAACAGGUCGUUUACAAAGUAUCACAUGUUUUCAGUAUGAAUUCCCAAAAAUGACUGAGACUGAGUGGAAGCUAAUUCUCUUAAAUCGCUCGCGUGUCGCCUCUGGUUUGCGUGCUAAUACCUGUAAAAGCUUCUUGACGUCAGUCUCGUCCCGUCCAAGCAGGUAAAGUGAGGAGCGCCAAAGAGGCUUAACUCCCCUCAGUCCAUUCAGCUCCUCUGGACAGAGCGGCCGGGGUGUAAUAACGAGAACAAACGCACCCAACGAGGCAAAAAAAGGGGUGGGACAAAGGGAGCGCGCCGCGUUUCCAUCAGCCAUCGGCGCCCUCAAUCUGACACCAUCAGGCCCGACUGACCCCCCCCCCCCGCCCCCCGACUGACCGUCUGGAACAAAGUGUGAAAAUUCUUUUGGAAGCCCCGACAUCGGAGAGCGAGCAAUCUGCUUCCGACUCCCCUCCGAAUCCCGACCGUGAUUACAAAUAACCAAGUGGAGCUCGUGAGCUACUCGAGCAGCGACUAAGCUCCCAGACGCAGCCGGUAGAAGCCCCCACCCCCGAGUGGUGGAAAGAUCCCUGCGCGAGUAGAAGUUGAGCAGCGGGGGGCCACUUCUCACCGUCUACACGGACACUGUCGCCUUGUUUACCGGAGCCGAUCGAUCUCCUGCGUCUUCUACGUCGGCUCGUCAUUUUCUCUCCUUUGCGUCAGGCCUCUCGAGGGGGGAGGGAGAGCCGAAAAGAGACGGUAGGUGCGAGAUAUGGUCAAAGGCAAAGUGAAAAUUAAUUAGCUCCGAAAAAAGAAUGGCUUGCUGGCACAGAAAAGAAGCUUCGCGUUUAACUGAUCCCAGAGCUCAUUGUCACCAGAGCAGCGCGCGGCCCCCCGGCCCCUCGCCGCGCAAGCUGCACCUUCCUUUGUCUGCACCAUCGCUCCGUGGAGGAAACUGAAAAGAACCUGGCGUGAUUAAGACGCCUGAAUAGACCCCCCCCUCCUCCCUCCUCUCUCUCAUCACCGCCGUCGCUAUCUACACGCCGUCACUCGCCGCCAGUUCACCUGGACGGCACGCGACUGUUUCUUAAAGGUGUUUUUCUGUGGUUGGUUAAGACGUUGUUCACACACGAAUGACUUCCCUGAUGAACGCCCCCCCCCCCUCCAGGUGUCGUCCUAAUCAGCGAGCAUUGUGGGCAAUCUUAUCACGGUGUUUCUCAAUUGUUUGAAGUCAUUGUCACUCCGCUGCUCGGGGGCACAAUGACUGCUCGCACAAACGCCGCGGCGGAACCGCAGCGCCUUUUGUUCACGUUUGUCACCCUGCGUUUUUAAACUUAAAUCACCGGCGAGCAACUCAGACGCCUCAUGAGGUCACGAUGGUUCUAUCGGCGAGCGGAGCUGCGGCAGUAAAAGAGGCGAGCAGUGAUCUGCAGCGAGGAGAUCCGGGCCCUUCGGAGCUCUGGAAGAUGCAGGUGCAGGGCGAAGCGGCGGAGGCUCCUCGGGGGGCCGUGACGAUGACGAGGUGCCGACGGGGGGGAAGAAGAGUUCAUGAAGUCCAAGGCGGUUUGGCAGAAUGACAGAGUCUCCUACAAAGCACCCAAACGGUAGAAAAUACCUCUUCAUCGAACCUGCGAUUCAUUCAUUCAUUCAGACAUUAUUCGCCGUCGGGGUCGGUCAGCUGUCACUAAACCGGGAUUACCGCAUCCGCUCCAACGCAUUCAAAUGUGCGGCUGAGCGGCAGCUCACACGAGGGAGGACGGAGGGACACGCCAGGGUCAGAUUCCAUCUCCCUGAUCCAGAGAGAGGGAGAUUUCUCUCUACCGCUUCACGCCGACUGGUUCCCAACAAACAGGGAGGAGAGAGAAUAGCGUUCGGUCCACUUCCUGUCUCUCGUCCUCUGCACAGGGCAUCGCGGUGACGUCCCAAUAAACAUUAACAUUAGAGACCUGAGAGAAUAAGAGACAUCCACGAGAACAAUAAACAGGCACUUGAAGCAGUUCGGAGAAAGGAUUGUGAGGACGAACGUGUCUUUAACGAUUGCAACGCCGCCACAUCCCUCUUCUUUAAUAACUUGACUUUGUCUGGAAGUUACAGCGCAACAAAGACGCUGGAAUAGAAACGGACAAAACAGGAAACCAUUUCACCACGUAGUUC